UACGGGGAGGGCAAGCGUUGUUCGGAAUUACUGGGCGUAAAGGGUUCGUAGGUGGCCAAUUAAGUCAGACGUGAAAUCCCUCAGCUUAACUGGGGAACUGCGUCUGAGACUGGAUGGCUUGAGUGCAGGAGAGGAACGCGGAAUUCCAGGUGUAGCGGUGAAAUGCGUAGAUAUCUGGAGGAACACCGGUGGCGAAGGCGGGUCUCUGGACAGUUCCUGACGCUGAGGCACGAAGGUCAGGGGAGCAAACGGG
rnacentral:rRNA from 1 species